rnacentral:misc_RNA from 1 species
GAAGAACGUAGCGAAAUGCGAUAAGUAAUGUGAAUUGCAGAAUUCAGUGAAUCAUCGAAUCUUUGAACGCACAUUGCGCCCGCCAGUAUUCUGGCGGGCAUGCCUGUUCGAGCGUCAUUACAACCCUCAGGCCCCCGGGCCUGGCGUUGGGGAUCGGCGGAAGCCCCCUGCGGGCACAACGCCGUCCCCCAAAUACAGUGGCGGUCCCGCCGCAGCUUCCAUUGCGUAGUAGCUAACACCUCGCAACUGGAGAGCGGCGCGGCCACGCCGUAAAACACCCAACUUCUGAAUGUUGACCUCGAAUCAGGUAGGAAUACCCGCUGAACUUAAGCAUAUCAAUAAGCGGAGGA